CAGGUACCGUUUCACCGGCCUUGCGUCCUACAUUUCCUUGGUUUCCAGCAGCAGGAACCACUGCCCCUCCACUGCCCUGGGGCCCCGGGCCUUGCUCUCCUGCGGAUGCGCUACCCAGGGCCCUAAAUGAGGCUAUAUAUACCUAUUUAGCCGGGUAAUAACAGAAUAAUAUAAGCCCAAAAGUCCCCGCAUUCUUACGAUACAUACCAGAAUGCUGAACUGCUUGCUCCCUUGUCAAUUUUCCAUCGACUACACAAAAAGCAACGGGAGAUUAGAACUAGACAGAGAUAUUUUUCUCUUCGUUUUCAGGACAAGGUCCACUCCACUUUCGUGAAAGUUGAAACAGAGCCUAUCUUUCUCGAUUUUGAUCCAUUCCACUCUUUUUCUUGCUUUGGAACAUUACAGAACUUUCGCUGGAAAUAUUUCUACUUGAACGCCGGUAGCCCCAGAGAGAUGUUCCGAAGGUGGUUUUCACGGGACGCUCUAGAUCCAUCUGCGCCUCACUAUUUCCAUUUGUUCUGGCUAUUAAAU
rnacentral:sRNA from 1 species